AAGUAAGAAGCAAUUCAUUUGUAAUCAGUUUCGACCUGAUAGGUGAUAUUAAUUUAUCCUUAUUUU
rnacentral:tRNA from 1 species